AGAGGGCAAUAAUAUCACAU
rnacentral:miRNA from 1 species